UGGGGAAUCUUGGACAAUGGGCGAAAGCCUGAUCCAGCCAUGCCGCGUGAGUGACGAAGGUCUUCGGAUUGUAAAGCUCUUUUGGCGGGGACGAUAAUGACGGUACCCGCAGAAUAAGCCCCGGCUAACUUCGUGCCAGCAGCCGCGGUAAUACGAAGGGGGCUAGCGUUGUUCGGAAUUACUGGGCGUAAAGCGCACGUAGGCGGAUUUGUAAGUCAGGGGUGAAAUCCCGGGGCUCAACCUCGGAACUGCCCUUGAUACUGCAAAUCUCGAGUCCGAUAGAGGUGAGUGGAAUUCCUAGUGUAGAGGUGAAAUUCGUAGAUAUUAGGAAGAACACCAGUGGCGAAGGCGGCUCACUGGAUCGGUACUGACGCUGAGGUGCGAAAGCGUGGGGAGCAAACAGGAUUAGAUACCCCAGUAGUCCCUGAGCGGGCUGGCAAGGCGCAU
rnacentral:rRNA from 1 species